rnacentral:rRNA from 1 species
UACGUAGGGUGCGAGCGUUGUCCGGAAUUACUGGGCGUAAAGAGCUCGUAGGUGGUUUGUCGCGUUGUUCGUGAAAACUCACAGCUCAACUGUGGGCGUGCGGGCGAUACGGGCAGACUAGAGUACUGCAGGGGAGAGUGGAAUUCCCGGUGUAGCGGUGAAAUGCGCAGAUAUCGGGAAGAACACCCGUGGCGAAGGCGGCUCUCUGGGACGGUACUGACGCUGAGACGCGAAAGCGUGGGGAGCGAACAGG